GAUGAACGCUGGCGGCGUGCCUCAAACAUGCAAGUCGAGCGGGGCUAUGUAAUAUCGCAAGGUAGAACAUAGCCUAGCGGCGAACGGGUGAGUAACACGUGGGUAACCUGCCUGGAAGACAGGGAUAACGAUUCGAAAGGGUCGCUAAUACCUGAUAAUAUCCUUUCAUCGCAUGGUGAUAGGAAGAAAGGGGAAACCCGCUUUCAGAUGGGCCCGCGUCCCAUCAGCUAGUUGGUAAGGUAAAGGCUUACCAAGGCGACGACGGGUAGCCGGUCUGAGAGGAUGUACGGCCACACUGGGACUGAGAUACGGCCCAGACUCCUACGGGAGGCAGCAGUUGGGAAUCUUAGGCAAUGGACGAAAGUCUGACCUAGCGACGCCGCGUGAGGGAAGAAGGCCUUCGGGUUCGUAAACCUCUGUCAGUGGGGAAGAAGUAAGUGACGGUACCCCAAGAGGAAGCCCGUGCUAACUACGUGCCAGCCGCCGCGGUAACACCCGACGAGAGUA
rnacentral:rRNA from 1 species